CCCUUAGAUGUUCUGGGCCGCACGCGCGCUACAAUGAUGAAUUCAACGAGUUUAUAACCUUGGUUGAAAAGCCUGGGUAAUCUUUUGAACUUUCGUCGUGAUGGGGCUAGACCCUUGCAAUUAUUGGUCUCCAACGAGGAAUUCCUAGUAAACGCAAGUCAUCAGCUUGCAUUGAUUACGUCCCUGCCCUUUGUACACACCGCCCGUCGCACCUACCGAUUGAAUGGUCCGGUGAAAUCUUCGGAUUGAGACUUUGAUUUCUUCACGGAAAACGCUGUUUUAAAAAGUUGAUUAAACCCUACCAUUUAGAGGAAGGUGAAGUCGUAACA
rnacentral:rRNA from 1 species